rnacentral:sRNA from 1 species
AUGUAACGCGCACAUCGCGGCUCCUGCGCGCAGCCCGCACCGACCCGAAGACUGCUCGCUACGUUCAUUCGAUC